GUCUUGGUGGUGAGAUAGUAGAUACGUGAGACUCGAAAUCUUAUGCUAAAGAGUGUAGAGGUUCUAAUCCUCUUGAAGGCA
rnacentral:tRNA from 1 species